CAAAUAUAUAUUCAAUAAUUCAAAUUGUCAUUGGGAAGCAUAAGGCUUGACACGUAUCUCAAAAUAUUAUUCCAAAAUACCAUCUCGACAUACGUCCCAAAAUCAUUCAAAAUACCACCUCGUGGUAAAAGUGUGUAAUUCGCAAUGAUAAUUAUUAAAUCAUAUCAUGAAAACAUUGAGAUAAUCAUAUAAAUCAAGGUUUAUUCAUU
rnacentral:lncRNA from 1 species